CGAAAACGAAUUCUCUCUUGAGUGGAUCCUGAGUACGACGGAGCACGUGAAAUUCCGUCGGAAUCUGGGAGGACCAUCUCCUAAGGCUAAAUACUCUCUAGUGACCGAUAGUGAACCAGUACCGUGAGGGAAAGGUGAAAAGUACCCCGGAAGGGGAGUGAAAGAGAACUUGAAACCGUGUGCUUACAAGUAGUCAGAGCCCGUUAAUGGGUGAUGGCGUGCCUUUUGUAGAAUGAACCGGCGAGUUACGAUCUGAUGCAAGGUUAAGCAGAAAAUGUGGAGCCGUAGCGAAAGCGAGUCUGAAUAGGGCGAAUGAGUAUUUGGUCGUAGACCCGAAACCAGGUGAUCUACCCUUGGUCAGGUUGAAGUUCAGGUAACACUGAAUGGAGGACCGAACCGACUUACGUUGAAAAGUGAGCGGAUGAACUGAGGGUAGCGGAGAAAUUCCAAUCGAACUUGGAGAUAGCUGGUUCUCUCCGAAAUAGCUUUAGGGCUAGCCUCAAGUGAUGAUUAUUGGAGGUAGAGCACUGUUUGGACGAGGGGCCCCUCUCGGGUUACCGAAUUCAGACAAACUCCGAAUGCCAAAUAAUUUAACUUGGGAGUCAGAAU
rnacentral:rRNA from 1 species